ensembl:snRNA U2 U2 spliceosomal RNA
AUCGCUUCUCGGCCUUUUGGCUAUGAUCAAGUGUAGUAAAUGAUGACAGAUUUUAGCCAGGCACUUUUCUAAGAGAACCCUUUUAUUUUGAUACUCAUUUUAAAAUUUCCUCAACAGGGGUAUCAAGAACUUAAUCUGGCCUGGAGAGAUGGCUCAGAGGUUAAGAGCACUGACUGCUCUUCUAGAGGUCCUGAGUUC